GGCCCAGCACAACUAGAAUGGACACUCUUUCAUUCUCUGGGAAGUUUGCCAGGACAACACUGCCAGGGAAAGAAGGAUGUGUGAUUGACUGUACCUAACUGAUGACUGAGAAACGCAACCCAAGGGUCUUGGAGAGAGCUUCUGUGUUUUAGGACUGCUACUGAAAAGCUCCCUGUGGAUGAAGCAAACAUGCUUCCAUCGUUCAGGAAUUUAAAUGAAGAUGUGGUGAUUUUGUGAUCGUAGCAGGAAAUAAAAUACCGCAGGUAUAAAAGGAAA